UACAGAGGGUGGCGAGCGUUAAUCGGAAUUACUGGGCGUAAAGCGCGCGUAGACGGUUUUGUAAGUCAGAUGUGGAAAUCCCCUGGGCUCAAACCUGGGAACUGCAUUUGAGACUGCAUGGCUAGAGUAUGGAAGAGGGAAGUGGAAUUUCCGGUGUAGCGGUGAAAUGCGUAGAUAUCGGAAGGAACACCAGUGGCGAAAGCGACUUCCUGGUCCAAUACUGACGUUCAUGUGCGAAAGCGUGGGGAGCAAACAGG
rnacentral:rRNA from 1 species